rnacentral:rRNA from 1 species
AGCAGCCGCGGUAAUUCCAGCUCCAAUAGCGUAUAUUAAAGUUGUUGCAGUUAAAAAGCUCGUAGUUGAAUUUCGGGAUUGACACAUCGGUCGUGCCUUAAGGGGUAUGAACUGGUGUAGUCAAUUUCUCACCUUCUGGAGAACCGCGAUGCCCUUAAUUGGGUGUCGCGGGGAACCAGGACCUUUACUUUGAAAAAAUUAGAGUGUUUAAAGCAGGCAUUUUGCUUGAAUACAUUAGCAUGGAAUAAUAAAAUAGGACGGCAUGAUUCUAUUUUGUUGGUUUCUAGGAUCACCGUAAUGAUUAAUAGGGAUAGUUGGGGGCAUUAGUAUUCAAUUGUUAGAGGUGAAAUUCUUGGAUUUAUUGAAGACUAACUACUGCGAAAGCAUUUGCCAAGGAUGUUUUCAUUAAUCAAGAACGAAAGUUAGGGGAUCGAAGACGAUCAGAUACCGUCGUAGUCUUAACCAUAAACUAUGCCGACUAGGGAUCGGAUGAUGUUAAUUUUAUAA